rnacentral:rRNA from 1 species
UACGUAGGGUCCAAACGUUAUUCGGAAUCACUGGGCUUACAGAGUUCGUAGGCGGUCUGGAAAGUUGGGUGUGAAAUCCCUCGGCUCAACCGAGGAACUGCGCUCAAAACUGCCAGACUCGAGGGAGAUAGAGGAAAGCGGAACUGAUGGUGGAGCGGUGAAAUGCGUUGAUAUCAUCAGGAACACCGGUGGCGAAGGCGGCUUUCUGGGUCUUACCUGACGCUGAGGAACGAAAGCUAGGGGAGCGAACGGG